rnacentral:rRNA from 1 species
UACGGAGGGUGCGAGCGUUAAUCGGAAUAACUGGGCGUAAAGGGCACGCAGGCGGGCUUUUAAGUGAGAUGUGAAAUCCCCGGGCUUAACCUGGGAAUAGCAUUUCAGACUGGGAGUCUAGAGUACUUUAGGGAGGGGUAGAAUUCCACGUGUAGCGGUGAAAUGCGUAGAGAUGUGGAGGAAUACCGAAGGCGAAGGCGGCCCCCUGGACGAAGACUGACGCUGAGGAACGAAAGCAUGGGUAGCAAACGGG